rnacentral:rRNA from 1 species
AGCGGCAGACGGGUGAGUAACGCGUGGGAACGAACCUUUUGGUUCGGAACAACCCAGGGAAACUUGGGCUAAUACCGGAUAAGCCCUUACGGGGAAAGAUUUAUCGCCGAAAGAUCGGCCCGCGUCUGAUUAGCUAGUUGGUGAGGUAACGGCUCACCAAGGCGACGAUCAGUAGCUGGUCUGAGAGGAUGAUCAGCCACAUUGGGACUGAGACACGGCCCAAACUCCUACGGGAGGCAGCAGUGGGGAAUAUUGGACAAUGGGCGCAAGCCUGAUCCAACCAUGCCGCGUGAGUGAUGAAGGCCCUAGGGUUGUAAAGCUCUUUUGUGCGGGAAGAUAAUGACGGUACCGCAAGAAUAAGCCCCGGCUAACUUCGUGCCAGCAGCCGCGGUAAUACGAAGGGGGCUAGCGUUGCUCGGAAUCACUGGGCGUAAAGGGUGCGUAGGCGGGUCUUUAAGUCAGGGGUGAAAUCCUGGAGCUCAACUCCAGAACUGCCUUUGA